rnacentral:sRNA from 1 species
ACUUUCAACAGAAAGUCGGGAUUGGUCUCCCGAAUAUCUGGCGGUAGAGAAUAGCCGCAUACAAGCGGUUUUUUU